AGACUUGCCCUGGGAUGGCACAGGAAGGUGAUGACAAGAAGAGGAGCAGAAUGGAACUGUAUUUGGACAUAGGAUCUAAAGUUGAAAUGAGGUCACAGGGUGUGGUCCUAAUCCAAUGUGACUGAUGUCCUUAUAAGAGGAAAAGACACCAGGGAUGUGUGCACAUGGAGGAAAGGCUGUGUGUGGUCACAGAGGGAAGACAGCCAUCUGCAAGCCAAAGAGAAAGGCCUCAAGAAAAAGCAACCCUGCCGACACGCCUUGAUCUUGGACUUCCAGCCUCCAGUACUGAGAAGACAAUAAGCUUGUUUUAGACACUUGGUCUGUAGUGCUUUGCUAUGGCAGCCUGAGCAGACUAACACCUAACAACUUCAAGUCCCAGGACUCCUGCUGGAAGGACCAGCUCCCAGCCUGCAGUGACAGAGGAAGAGACAGCAGAGGAAACGGGUAGUGGAGGAGCACCAUGCCAGGCGAUUUAUCCACAGGCAUGAGUCCCACACUGCCCCACACAUCUGUGCACAGGAAAAGCACCACAGAGAAGACAAAAAUAAAUCCUUUGACACAAUACUAUAAACACUAGCUUCUUAAUAACACUCUUCUUCAGACUAUUCUAAGCAGCAGGUAAAUGAUUUGGAACUGCCCUCCAUUUCCUCAGGUCAGUAUGGAUACAGUUCGGGGUAGACACAAUGUGUGAGCCUCCUCUCUGUGGCACAAAUAUCAGGAGAUAAUCUCAUCACCCCAUGGCCUCCCUGCCAAAUCUAAUCCCAACCAGGCAUGGGCCUGCAUACCUGCAGGACCAUAGGACUCCCCUAAAACACACAGAUUAUAUUUUUUACAGUGGCAAGUUUGAAAUCAUCAAAAUCCUCAAGAUUCUGGAUUCCUUCAUAGCAAUUAGGAAGGGGCAGUGUUUAGUUUGCGCACACAUUCCUUCUAAGAACAGGUGCCAACUACCCCUGGCAAUAGGAUUCUGAGAUGGCCCCCAAAUCUCCAGCCCAGUCCUGGUGUCCACACCCCUGCCAGCUCCCUUGAGUGAGGUAGGGACUAAGUAUGAAUGUGGAGGAAAUCACUUGUGAAGAUGUAACUAGGGUGACCCAAUCAGUAGACUAUGAGCCAACCAACAAAGAGAUCAUCUGAGUGGGCCUUACAGAGCCACAGGAGUCCUAUAAACCUGGGCCUAAUGACAGGGACAGGAACUCAGAGGGGCCACAUGGCCAGAGCUGAGAGCACAAGGCCUCAGCCCUACCACCACUGGAGCUGAAUUACACUAAGAACCUAAAAGAGCCUGGAAGAAGAUGCAAGCCUCAGACAAGAACACAGCUGCAGCCAACACCUCACCCGCAGCCUGGUGAGACAUCGGGUAGAAGACCUGGCCAACCCAUGCCUGAAUUCCUAACCUCCAGGAAAUGUGAGAUAAUGUAUCUGGAUUCUUUCUUUUGACAGAAGCAGGAGCUAGAUGCUUCUCCCAUCCUGGCAGCUUCGUCUUCUACAGUGUGUAACAAACUAAAGAUUCUGCCGGUAGUUUUAUAGUCUGCAUACUUGAGGAAAAACUACUUAACGAGAAAAGAAUGCAUAGAACAAGACUGGUUAUAAUCCAAAAGUGUUUUUCUCUCUCCACAUAAAGUGGAAGCCCAUCAGAGGGCCUGAAUAACAUAUUAAAAUGUGGAGAAACCCUGAAAACGUGCAAUCUUGAAAUACGGGCUAUGUUAUAAAUAUUACAAACAUGGUGCAUGAUUCCUCCACAGGAAUGGCAACUGGCUCUUGCAUUUAGCUGCAAUUUUCUGCUCGUGAUUCCUGACAGGUCUGAACAGAGUGUCAAACCAAGAUUUCAAAGGUCAUGAGUGAAAAAAGUGUGAUUCUUCUGAAAUGGGGGGCAAAGAAAAAGAAAAACACUAAAAACGGAAAGAAUAAUAAAAAUGUCUUACAUUUAAAAGCACCACGUAUGAAGCCAGAGACAAAAGCCAGUUUUUUCUAAAAAAGCCUGCCACUCCUUUUUCUCUGCACCAACCACCUCACUUCUAGGCCAGCUGUUUCCUCAGCUAAACAGUGAGAAUGUUAAAUAGAUGAUCUUGAAAAUCUGUUCUGAGGCUAAUGUUAGCCUUCUGUGAUUAAUAGAUUUCCUCUUCUGGGAAAAUCUAUUACUAACAUUUUACAAUUAGUCAUGCUGAGCUUUGCAGUUCUCAUCUGAGCCUUUUUUUUGUCCAAAACAACAUAAUGCACAGGUGAAAGAAUAAGGAAAUAUAAGUAUGACAAGUGACAAAUUUUAUUUAAAGACAAGCAGUAAAUAAAAUUUUAAGAUCCCUUAAUUUAUCAUUUUUGGUUAUUUAAUAUUUAGGCUGAGUUAAACUAUUUAUUUGUAUUAGUUAUGUUUUCAAGGUUCUUAAGUAGGGGCACCUGGGUGGCUCAGUCGG